CUACGGGUCGCAGCAGUGAGGAAUAUUGCACAAUGGGGGGAACCCUGAUGCAGCAACGCCGCGUGGAGGAUGACGCAUUUCGGUGUGUAAACUCCUUUUAUAUGUCAAGAAAAUGACGGUAGCAUAUGAAUAAGCACCGGCUAACUCCGUGCCAGCAGCCGCGGUAAUACGGAGGGUGCAAGCGUUACUCGGAAUCACUGGGCGUGAAGGACGCGUAGGCGGGCUUGUAAGUCAGGUGUGAAAUCCUACAGCUUAACUGUAGAACUGCACUUGAAACUACGAGCCUAGAGUAUGGGAGGGGGAGAUGGAAUUAGUGGUGUAGGGGUAAAAUCCGUAGAUAUCACUAGGAAUACCUAAAGCGAAGGCGAUCUCCUGGAACAUAACUGACGCUAAGGCGUGAAAGCGUGGGGAGCAAACAGGAUUAGAUACCCUAGUAGUC
rnacentral:rRNA from 1 species